UUCCAUCCGAGCAUUCCAAUCAUUCCUUCCAGGCAUUUCAUCGCCCCAUCAAGGCGUUCCAUCGUUCCAUCCAAGCAUUCCAUCUAGAAGUUUCAUCGUCCUAUCCAAGCAUUUCAUCAUUCUAUCCAGGAGUUCCAAUCAUUUCAUCCAAUCAUUCCAUCCAGGCGUUUCAUCGUUCAAUCCAGGCAUUCUAUGAUUCCAUACAAACAUUCCAAUCAUUCUAUCAUUCCACAUUCAGGCAUUCCAAUCAUUCCAAUAAAACUGAAACAAACCUCUUUACAAAGUAUUUUCUUGAUGAAAUGACUUAUUAACGUUAUAAAAUGGACAAAUUGGCUGAAUUCUGAGUUAUCGAUGGUGCAAAAAAAGAAAAAAAAAGGUCGAAUGUGUGUGGGUCAGAUAUUACGGUCAAGACGUGGAGGAAGAACGCCAGUGUCAAGGACGUCUGGAAUGGGAACACGCUCCACAUUGGAUUCCGCCUGUUCCGAUUUUUUAAUUCCUUUUCUUUGGUCCUGGGGUCACCGCUCUCCUUCCUUCUUCACUGGAAUUCCACACACCCUCUUCUUCUGCUUCUAAAUAUAUAUUCUUCUUUUCGUAUUUCAUUCACCACACCCUCUUCUGCUUCUAAAUAUAUCAUUUUCCUUUCGUAUUUCAUUCUCAAUGGUCUUGUUUUCGCCAUCGAGUGUUCUUGACUCUCCCCUAUCCUAUUUUUACCUCAUAUAUAUUCUUUUUUUUUUUUUUAAAUGUUCUCUUUUUUUUUUCGCCCUUUAUUUGAACUUUUUUAAAUGCUUUUUUUUUCUCGUUAAAUUAUACCGCUGGUAUCUUGAUUUCUUUUUACGUUCUUAGAUAGAAUUACUAUUUUGAUACCCAUAUGUAAAUAUUUACAAUAUUUUAAAUAUUAAAAUACGUAGGGCGCCAUCUGUUAUUGAAUUUUGAAACUAUUAUAAUGAUUUUUUUUGGUUUGUUAGCAGAAUAAAAUAAUUGUCUACUGUCCUUUUUGUGAUGAAUUUCGUAGAGGUCUUAGAUUGAAAAUUCUAUUCGAUGUCAUUUGAUAUAUAGAUUUUAAUUUUAAGUUUAAAAACAUUUUAGCACAUUUUUAUUUAAAUUUUUAAAUAAAUUCUAAAAUAUAAGGUUUUGUGUUUUUCUUAAAACGUUGUUUUUCUUAUUACUUGGCGAAUAAUAUUAUUACGGCGAAUACAUAAUAAUACAAUUACUUUAUACAUAAUACAAAGACAUUAUACAUAACGGCGAAUAAUAUUGCUAUUUAAAUUUCUUUACAAGUGUUUACGAACUUUUGGGACAACCUUGUAAUUUUAUGGAUAAUUUUUUUAAAAGAAUGUCUUGUUCAAAUGGCGAAUCCUCCCAACUUUUUUUCAUAUUUCAAUCUACCACAUACCGCUUUAUAUAUUGUAUUGUAUAUUUUUUUAUUUGGGUUUUAUAGUAAGAUUUUUGGCAGUUUAUUCUUGGUGAUUGAAUUAAAGGAAACGAUGUAUAAGUUUUGUGAUGGUAGAAAUGUGAAACACAAGCAUCAAUUUAUUUUACAGAACAAAACUUUCUUAUUUAUUUGUUAAUCAACCAGGCGCGAUAUUGAAAUUUUUGCGCCUAUUACAGAGGAAACAAACAAAACAACAAACAAAUUAGAACUUAGAAUUAAAUAUUUACAUGUAUUAUUCUACAGAUUUCAUAAAAUUUAUAUAGACAAAGUGGCUGAGAUAAAUCAGAGAACAAUCGAUGUCUCACUUCUGUAAAGUUCGAACAGUCAUAGAUAAGGUGAAGAGCAGUUUGUUCAGUUUCUCCGCAGGAUCAAUUUGGUGUUUCUGAUAGACCUCUUUUAUGUAAGUAUUUCUGGACCGUGUGAUGUGACAAAUUGAGUGAUUAUAAAGUUUGGAUGAAACUGUGUAGGAAUUUCGUUUAGAAAAAUAUUGCGAAUUGUAUAAUUAUAGAACAAUACUUGUUACUUGUUCUACCAGCUAAUUUCCAUAGUUCAACUGGCCCAGCUGUUAGUACCCUUCCGUUGUACAUGCUUUUGGUUCGAAAACACAGGAAUUUCUUGUAGGAUUUUAAUAUUUAUACGAACUUUUCGAGCCUUUCUGCCCUUCAACGGGAAUAAAAAUAAGAACUAAGGUAAUACUUACAUCAGUUGAAGGAAUUGUAAGGUUCAAAACUUCAUAAAAACGGUAUUUUCCAAUAAAAUAUUUUUUUCAUCCUCCCUGCAUUUUUGUCGUAAUAUAUUAUGAUGCAUUAGCGCACCAUCUGUUUUGAAAAUUCGAAACUAUUAAUAUUAUAGACGCGUAUGAUUCUUUUUUAAAAAUAAAACAAAUUAUACUGCCCUUACUGCGAUGGAAAAAUUAAUGGAAGUCGCAGUAAGGGCAGUAGUAAUUGUUUUAUUAAAAAAAAAAAGAAUUAUUAUAUCGUCUAUAAUAGUUUCGAAUUAUCGUCAUAUAUAACUAUAGAAUUCCUGGUCAAUAAUGUGAAAAAUACUUCUGUGAGCGUGACUUCGGCGGCUUUUGACCAGUGACCUGAGACAAAUUUCCUCACACGGCCGAACGACUUACCGUUAGAUCAACAGUUCCACACUUCGUAAUAAUACCUCAAGUUAUUCUGAAAAAUUAUUGAAUUUUGUUACAAACGACUCAUUCUGUAGAUAGGUUAACUAUUGUCUGUUUGCUUGAAUUUAUCCCGCAGUGUGUCGACAGGCUAAUAUUUGAGUGCGUUGUUUCUCAAUGAAUGUAUCUUGUUGGGUGAUGGAGCCGCAUGCUGAUGUGGCCAACUGUCCGGGUUGUUGGUCUUCAGACUUAUUGUCCGUUGUUGACAUUCAGCUGAUCAGAUGUCGCCAACUGUCAGGGUUGGUCUUCAGACUUAUUGUCUCAUUGUUGAUACCCAGCUGAUGUCACCAACUGUCGGGUUGUUAGUCUUCCGAAUUAUUGUAUAUAUAAUAAAGUAAGAAAUUCAUCCUAGGAAGCCGUUUUAUUUUUUAUUCUUUCUUCUUUAAAGUGACCCAGAUUUCUGGAAAAUCUUCCAAGAACUAAACCUGCUUUGUGCCAUCUCACGAAUUGAACCUCCACAGCCAUUGUGAAUAAAGCAAAAAAAGACUUAAGUCUCUAAAGGACAACCCGGGUAUCACAAGAAGUAUCUGUAAUAUUUGCAUACUGUCUAUUUCUAAAGCUUUUAGAUAUUUUAUAUAAUUCAAGACGUACUUAAAUUUUUUAUAGUGAAUUACACUCAUUGACAAAAUUUAAGGAAAUGGAAAGUCUUUAAUGCCGCGUUAGCCUGUUAUCUUGAAAGAGACAAAGGCAAUUUUGUUCAUACUUGGUUAUCUCGUGUAUCUUCAAUAAAGGUCACUGUAAUAUAUUUCAGAGUUAUUGUCCGAAUCCCGAUAUACAUGCUAAAAUGUACAACUUCCUUAAGUUUUGUCCAUGAGUGUAUCUUUCAGAGUUAUUGUCCGAAUCCGAUAUACAUGCUAAAAUGUACAACUACCUUAAGUUUUGUCCAUGAAUGUAUCUUUCAGAGUUUUUGUCUGAAUCCCGAUAUACAAGUUCCUUAAUUUUAUCCAUAAGUGUAGUUCCGUAUAAAGUAUUCUAUUGGCUAUAUUUGUUUUUUAUUUUUGUACAAGUUGCUACUAAUCAUUUAUGAUUGUCCAGAGAUAUCACCAUCUAUCGGCAAAUUGAAGCAAAAUACCAACAGACGAAAUACCCACGGGCCUUAUCAUUUGAUUGGUCGGUGGGAUUUUCGUCUGUCUGGAUUUUGCCUAUAAUCUUCUGUUUCCAAGUUCAAGUAAAUUUUUAUCUGCUGAUUUAUUCACAGAAGAAAUUUCCGGGUGAGUAUAACUCUUCUCUCUGUAGAUAUAUGUACUCUGUAAAUAUCAUCAUCUUUUUCUUAAGGCCAUCUUUCUGUGACAAUCGAGAGACAUUUUGACACACAUUUUUCUUAGAGUUAAAAACUCUUUCUACAAACGAUAAGGUACAAUUUGGAUAAUAGAUUAUAAACACAAGGUAAUAAGACAAAACCAAAAAUAUAAAUAAUGUGUAACAUUUCGGUAACAGCAUUGUUAACAUUAUAAUUUUUGCUAAUUCAACAAUUUUGUCUGAAGAUUGUAACAACGCUGUUACUUAAACGUCACAUACUAUUUAUUUAUUUAUUAUUUGGUCUUAUUACUUUGUGUUUCUUUCUAAAAACCUUAUACACACAAAAAAGCUUUAUUAAGACCAGCGGUCUUAUAGAGAUUCACCACAGUAAGAAAUAAUAGAUGGAGCUCCUAUACUCCAGGUAGCGCAGCACCCAACAACAGUCUCCUGGUCCGUACAAACCUUAAUGUUUUCAUUUCUUAUAUUUUUUUUACGAAAUAAACAAGCAAUCCAGGGUCAGAUUUCUAUAUCCUUACUUUGUGGCCAGCCGGAUGGGGACGCCACACAUCCGCCCUAAAGAGGCUCCACCCUGACGACGACUCCAGUCCCCCUCUUUACCGACCUCCCAACGCUCCAAGGAGGUCACAUGCACGCCCCCUCCACUCUCCAGGAGGAGGGCGAUGCUCUAGGCACCACAGAUUUCUAUUUAAAAAUAAAGAAGGCAUAUCCUGACCACGAGCAUAUGUGCUUUUUAGUGGCAGAGCGCCAUCUAGUGGAGCAAAAAAUAAACUAAACGUUUAUUUAACUUGCUCCGUGAUAUUUGGCCAACCCAAUUUCUUGAUAAAUCAAGAAAAGCCAUCCACAAACGCUGUUGGCGCUCGUCAGCGUGGAGUAGGCUGUACCACUGCGACCAAAAAGAUUUUUGGUCCCAGAGGCUUCUUGAGAAACCAAGAAAUGGGUAUUUAAGGCCAAAUUUGCGUAAAUACGCCUAACACAUGAAAAAAACAAUAGAAAGAUUUCUAUAUAAAUAAAGAAGCCUGACCACAUGAAUGAUUUCUUAUUGAUUUCGUUGAAUUGUAAAAGCAGUAAUGAAUAUGCAUUAAAACCUUAUACUGAAAUGCUAAAAAUUAUGAGAGGACCUAGCUCAUCAGUGAUGUACACUCCUAGCUGUUUCGCCAGUUUAAUCUCCAAACUUCUCUACUCUAGUAUCAGAGAGGCUCUUUGUUUUAUAAAGUCUGUUUUUUGUUUAUGGAAUACAGAGUAACUCAAAUUAUCCUGUGACUUAAAAUGUCUUUAUUCUUCAUUGCCAAUCAUUUUGCACAAUGCCAUCGCUCUGAUGCACAAUUAAAGGGAGAGGUGCCUCUUUUGGUAAAUGAUUAUCAUGCUCCCACAAAUGUUGUAAUCUUGCCUGAAAAACAGCGGCCCCCCUUGCUACUUCACCAGCUUAAACACCUGUUUGGUAAAUUUGACAUAACUCCUCUCGUAGGAUGUUAUGAAGCCGUCCCUGUACUGAUGAGGGUCAUAGCCUUAAACCAUGGUAUACAGGUUACAAUUAUUACAAUUAUUUUAUUUCCAAAGCGCUAUAUCCCGCAAGGGAUACUUGCGCCAAACAAGGAGAAAUUUUUAUUUACAUAAGUUAUUUACAUUAUUCGACGCAUGAAAACAUUAGAGAUCUGUUACGUCUUAUUUAAGGUCCUAUUGAGGACGUUUCGGACUUAAACUUUGGUUUAGCUCAGCAACAACAAUGUUUUAAUUAUAUACCAACGUGGGUCAAAAUUUAGAUACACACAUAGAAAGAUAGCGAACACCAAAAGGUUCAUACAUAGUUUAUCCAUAGUAUACAUUUACUUCCUCUUAUCCCUACUUUACGAGUAGAAUCAUUUAAGGCAAAUUCAUUAAACCAAUAAGACCACUGAUGGUUAGUGGACCUUGUUUAGUAUAUAUUUGUAUUUAUUUAAGGAUAAAGUAUUACAAACACACUUUUAAAAUAGUAAAACAUGAGUUUUUAUUUUACCUCGAUAGAUUUUACAAACUUUCAUUUGUAGACAAUUCUAAGUAGACAUAAAAUUUAUUUUUAGCAAAUUAUAAGACUUCAUGCAAAAUAUGAUUUUUACCUAUUAAAUAAAACUAUGAAUAUGCCUUUUCGACAUAUAAAACGAGCCCUUUAUGGGCUCAUACCUAAAAAUUAAUAGAGAAAAUAUUAACCUACCAUUUCUCUCCAGACACCAUCCCCCAGCCUCCCAUCAGGUCGCGAGCCCUCUCAAGACCGUCCUCUCAGUUCGCGUACUUCGUCCUGACUCUAAUUUUUAAAAGGUGGCGCCCUCAAAAAUUAUCCUCUUACAGAGUAAAAAAAAAUUAAUUUAAAUUUCCCAGAGUAUAUUUAAAAAAUAAUAAGAAUAAAAUAUUAUUAUUUUUCUCUUAUUAAAAGAAAAUUUUGAAUUAGUAAUAAAAUAAUAAAAUCUAACAUGUUUACCCCUUGAAAAUUUUAUAUAGUAAUUUCUUCUUUAAGAAAAUUUUAAAAUAAGGAAAUAUACCCAAUUUAUCUGGAUAUGCCUGUAAUUGGCUUUAUUCAUUUUAGAAUAAAAAAAUAAAUUUCGAAAUUUCUCGAAAUGGUAAUAUAACUUUUUGGACGUUUCACUUGCAUAAAAAAAGGUGAUUGGCAAUAAUUUACAUAUAUAUAGUUUGUACACCCUCCUCUGGACCUUUCUGCAGCGGGCUUCGGGAUACUUGGACAGGGUCAGAGUCAUCUCCAACUGGGCGUCUUCCCCGGCUUUGGCCUUUAAAGGCAUAGUACACCCCCCUCUGAACCUUUCUGCAGCGGGCUUCGUGAUACAUGGACAGGGUCAGUGUCAUCUCCAACUGGGCGUCUUCCCCGGCUUUGGCCUUUAAAGCAUCGUUGGCCAUCGUUGGGGAAUUCUCCAUCUAGACAACAAACACUUCGGCAAGACACUGUGCAUAUAUAUGAUGUAAAUGUUUACAUCAUUGUUGGGUCUAUUUUGUGAAAAUCUGGCCCAACAGAUCCAGAUUUUGUAGAAAGUUUAGAAUGUAUUUUAAAAAUGAAUUGAACUUUAAAUAUGAUUUUUUUUUUAUCGGAAAUCAAAUCGUUAAGUUCACAAACAACUAGUUCAUUCUUCAUUCUAUAAUCUUGAAAUGCUGGGCAAUCGAUCAGUAGAUGUCUUGAGGUUUGUUCCUCAAUACCACAAAAGCAAUUUGAAUCCUCCAUUGCCUGUUAAUUAAUAACAAAAAUAAAUAGAAUUUACUAAAAAGCCUUUAUUUAUUGCUUUUAAUUUUAAUUAAAUUUUAAACAUAUUAAAGAUAAUAUUAUUUAUUUACACAUAUAACUAUAUGUAAAUUAGUAAAUUAAAUUUUAUUGCCCUCUAUCAUUAAAAUUUUACACAAAUAAAUUUACUGGCAAUGCGUUUCUUUUUUUUUUUUAUAAAUCUCUACAGACCUUACUGCAAUGAUAUGAUUUAAUGAAUGAGAGGGCUUGGCUCAUUCAUUAAAUCAUAUCAUUGCAGUAAGGUCUGUAGAGAUUUAUAAAAAAAAAAAAAAAACGCAUUGCCAGUAAAUUUAUUUGUGUAAAAUUUUAUAUGUAAAUUAAAGAACAAAAGAAAAGGAAACCAAAAAAACGUAAACAUUGGCGACCGCCAUUCUUCUUUGUCUGCCAGCAACUGUUCUAUAGUCGAUCCUGCGCAGGCGCACACCACGCCCGCCGCCACCGCGUGCUGCUCGAUGGGGUCGUGUUUUCGAGCCGCUUGCCCACUAAAAUGGAUAUUUAACACUGCCUUUAUUCUAUUUAAAAACUUUUGAAAUUUCCGUGGUUUGUAACAAUACAAGUUGUUAGCUUUUUGUCUGGAUUUUCCAAAACUGGUGUUGUGGAUUAUUCUUUAUAAUCACUAGUAAAGUUUUUUACUGGGGUGAUGCACAGUGCCCUCGUUCUGAUGCACAAUUUAAAGGGAGAGGUGCCUUUUAUGAUAUAUAUAUAUAUCAUCAUUAGUGAACCCUCCCAGCGAUUUCGCAAGUUUAAUCUGAAAGGUUCACCACUGAUGAAGCCAGGCCAUUGAUUUAUCCUUACAGUAAGGGCAGUAGAGAAAAUGGUUUAAUUUUAAAAAAGAAUCAGACGUGUCUGUAAUAGUUUCAAUUUCUAAUAACAGAUGGCGCGCUAAAUGCGAAUUAUAUAUAGAGAGGUGUAGAAAAAAUAUCCAUAAUUACAUUUAGAAAACAAAAAAUUUCUAAAUUCUAAAAUAAUUUAAAUAUUUAUCCUAAUUCACUUAUAACAAAUAUAACACAACACACACAAAGACACUUUAUUAAGACACCAAAGAAGAUCGGUUGACAAGUGGUUAACCCUUUAAGCACCAGGCAAGACGAUGUAUCGUUUUGAUGUGAUCGUGUUGAUUGUAACUUUUUCUCCUUAAAAUAAUCAAAUGAAAUUUAAUUAAUUGUAUUUU